UUCUUCGGGGCAGGGUGCAAUUCCCGACCGACGGUAACAACGUAUGUUGAAGUCCGUGACCCGCGUGCGCGCGGUGGACCCAGUGCAAGUCUGGGACCGACAGUAUAGUCUGGAUGGGAGAAGAA
rnacentral:ncRNA from 1 species